CUCUCAAGUUGAACAAAGAAUAAGAAAAAUAGUACUUGCCAUUUAGUAAUAAUAAGUUGGCAUAGACGAGACAACGUAGUAAUUGUUGAAGGAAUAAGGAACUUUUAGGUUUUUAGAUGACGGUUCUACAGGAACGAAAAACUUUCUACCAUGUUCAUUAGACCAUCGCCUUAAGAAAUGGGGAAGUGAACAAAUGAAGGACCGAUUAUGAGUAGCAAGCUGAAGUAUAUCUGAAACUAGAUAUAAAGGUGUGGGAAACACAUAUUUGACGGUCUCAUUUUGAAACACGUGCCCAAUGUUAGAAGACAUUUUUUUUGUAGAAAAAUCAUUUUCCAUACUUAAAACAGACGGUGCAUUGAUUCCAGGCAAGGAUUUGUCAACGUGACACACGUCCAUCAAAAGCAGACUGUGGUGCGGAAACUGUUUUGACAAUCGUUCAAAAAAUCUAAUGGCUUUCGUAGGAUAGUAUGUGAGUUUUUGCGUGCUAAAAAAGGACCAAAAUACUUGUUUAACACCGGAAAAGUACCGUUUAGCCCUGCUGUCGCUAAACCCUUGCUGAACAUUAAUCCUAGCUUGUUGAAAUGCUAAAUGGUAAUUCAAAGAGCUAACUUUUUGGUGAGUAUUUAGAGUGAAGAAUUCGUUUAAAAAGUGCUCUGGACCAAGCCAGCACCGUUCCAUCAUCAUGGCGCCGUUACUCUGACGAAAUAAAUCAUGACCGAAGGAGCUAAUUACCUGUAAUGCCAAUACAAAGCAAGGAUUUGUAUCAGUAUGGUUCCACGUUAAUGGAUCACUAACAUAUAUAUCAAUAUGAUCUCCAUGCUUUGCAUAUCUCACAGAUGUCAACAUGCUCUUAAACCAGCUUGCUUGCCAAGAAUUAUGCAAGACUAUAUUGUAUGUAGUACGUCCAUAAACUUCAAGGUGAUUUUUAUAAAGAUAAUCAAGAAUAUCCAAUGCUAUUAUUCCAGUCCCAGAAUGAAAAUCAUAUAUUUUCAAAUCAAACACCGGGAAAUAUCGAAGUUUAUACUGCAACACCAAGUAGUUACUAAUGGACUCAGAGAAUAGAGACCUUUGCUUUUCAUAGAUGUUUAAUGCCUUUUGAGGAAUAGGUAUUCCAUGCAAAAAAGGAUCAAAUUCUUUGGAACAUUUAUGCCCUUCUUUCCUUAAUACAUGUACAGAAUGGCUCAAAUUAUUGGUUGAGCCUGUCCAAAGUCGAGAAUAGUAACCCUUGCUGGGAUCAAACGUAGAUUCAUGAAUAUAAUCGGCUAACGAAACCUUAGAAUCGCGGUGCAACAAAAAUCCAUUAUCAGUAGUAUACCAUCUUCUUGGGCCAUGCAAAACUAGACCGGUAUUUGUAAAUGCAAGAGCACUAAUUACUCUGCUUCCAAAUAAUAAUGAAGCUUGAUAAACUUGAGAGCGACUU